CCGGAAUCAUUGGGUUUAAAGGGUCCGUAGGCGGUCUGAUAAGUCAGUGGUGAAAGCCCAUCGCUUAACGAUGGAACGGCCAUUGAUACUGUCAGACUUGAAUUACUGGGAAGUAACUAGAAUAUGUAGUGUAGCGGUGAAAUGCUUAGAUAUUACAUGGAAUACCAAUUGCGAAGGCAGGUUACUACCAGUGGAUUGACGCUGAUGGACGAAAGCGUGGGGAGCGAACAGG
rnacentral:rRNA from 1 species